AAUUGACGGGGACCCGCACAAGCGGUGGAGCAUGUGGUUUAAUUCGAAGCAACGCGAAGAACCUUACCAAAUCUUGACAUCCUUUGACAACUCUAGAGAUAGAGCUUUCCCCUUCGGGGGACAAAGUGACAGGUGGUGCAUGGUUGUCGUCAGCUCGUGUCGUGAGAUGUUGGGUUAAGUCCCGCAACGAGCGCAACCCUUAAGCUUAGUUGCCAUCAUUAAGUUGGGCACUCUAAGUUGACUGCCGGUGACAAACCGGAGGAAGGUGGGGAUGACGUCAAAUCAUCAUGCCCCUUAUGAUUUGGGCUACACACGUGCUACAAUGGACA
rnacentral:rRNA from 1 species